GACGAACGCUGGCGGCGUGCUUAACACAUGCAAGUCGAACGGAAAGGCCCUGCUUUUGUGGGGUGCUCGAGUGGCGAACGGGUGAGUAACACGUGAGUAACCUGCCCUUGACUUUGGGAUAACUUCAGGAAACUGGGGCUAAUACCGGAUAGGAGCUCCUGCUGCAUGGUGGGGGUUGGAAAGUUUCGGCGGUUGGGGAUGGACUCGCGGCUUAUCAGCUUGUUGGUGGGGUAGUGGCUUACCAAGGCUUUGACGGGUAGCCGGCCUGAGAGGGUGACCGGCCACAUUGGGACUGAGAUACGGCCCAGACUCCUACGGGAGGCAGCAGUGGGGAAUAUUGCACAAUGGGCGGAAGCCUGGUGCAGCAACGCCGCGUGCGGGAUGACGGCCUUCGGGUUGUAAACCGCUUUCGCCUGUGACGAAGCGUGAGUGACGGUAAUGGGUAAAGAAGCACCGGCUAACUACGUGCAGCCGCCGCAGUAACAC
rnacentral:rRNA from 1 species